AGUGAUGAUAGAGGAGCGGACGUCAAUAGUAUGCAUUCCGAGAUUUGCAGAAUCUGUGAAGGAUGCCGAAAGGGACGCCCGCCGAAGUUUAUGCGCACUGCUUGCGUGUAUGCUGGUCCUGCAUUUAAGAAAUGCAGGGCUGUCAGAGUUUGACUCUGGAGGGCUAUCUCACAU
rnacentral:ncRNA from 1 species